rnacentral:lncRNA from 1 species
CCGCCAUUUAUAAUUGCCGUUUAUUAUAGAUUUUUCUUGAAAUAAAAAAAAUCUACUAAUGUUUUUUCCUUCAAACUUCUGCAUUAGUUGCAGCUUCAGGGGAGAUUUUAAAAGCAUUAAUAAAAAAGGGGGGUCACCGAUGUUUUAAAUCCGCUACAGUGGAAAUAAUCUCAUUAUCAAUUUUUGGCGGGAAUUCUAACUUUUUCUCUUAACGUUAUAGAACGACGUUGCUAGCAUAGCAGCAUUUCUUGCAAUGCUUGGAACUAUUGGGUUAAAAUUAUAUAUAUAUAUAUGUUUUUAUAUAAUAAUAUUUUUUUU